CCGGCCAAUAUUGUCACUCUAACGUGCACUCGCGCCUUCCCUCGGCUCUACAGGGCAUCGCAGCCACCGAUCCCAGCCCCUCCCCGGCCUAUGCCAGCCGCCUGGUGGCCCUCCGGGCUGCGGAGCCAGGCCUGGCCUGACAGCAGCAGCUGUUUUCUUCCCGAAGCCGCAGCGCUCAAGGGCGUGGUUGCGGUAGACACCUCGGAUCCCAUUUGGCCUGUGCGGACCCUACCGCGCCAACCCCUCGUCUUAGGACCGAGAGGCCCGACAGCCAGGUGGGGGUGGUCUGGGCAGACCGGUCGACAUCGCAAGUCAGUGCGGACUGGGAGGGCCAGCUGCCCACAGCACGGUCUCCAGGAAGCCUCUGGAGCAGCGCGAGAAGCCCUUCAGAUGCGAGUUCGAGGGCUGCGAGCGGCGCUUCGCCAACAGCAGCGACCGUAAGAAGCAUUCGCACGUGCACACUAGCGACAAGCCAUACACGUGCAAGGUGCGGGGCUGCGACAAGUGCUACACGCACCCCAGCUCGCUGCGUAAGCACAUGAAGGUGCACGGGCGCUCGCCGCCGCCCAGCUCUGGCUACGAUUCGGCUACACCGUCUGCCCUCGUGUCGCCCUCGUCGGACUGCGGCCACAAGUCCCAGGUGGCCUCCUCGGCGGCGGUGGCGGCGCGUACCGCCGACUUGAGCGAAUGAUGUCCACCGCGUUGCUC
rnacentral:lncRNA from 1 species